CUAAUACUUGCCUCCCUCACCCCAAAGCCCCAAAUCCUUUUUUCCUUUGCUUAGCCUGUGAUGAUACAUAAGCCUCAAUCAUCUGGCUGCCUCCUUGAGUCUCAUUUAUCUGUGAACGUACCAUGCAUAGCUAGAUUCAUUUGCAGAUGUUGCUCUAGGGGAAGACUGAGCCACAAGAUGGAAGAAGACUAGAUACUUGAAUCACACUAUGGAGGAAAGAUGACCACCAAUGGGACAUAUGCUUUGGGUGGUUAAAAUAAUGAGAAAUAAACAUCUAUUAAGUUUGAGCCAUAAAUUUUGGGGUCUAUUAUCUACUGCCUCUAACAUUAC
rnacentral:lncRNA from 1 species